GAUGAACGCUAGCGACGUGCCUAAUACAUGCAAGUCGAGCGAACAGAUAAUGAGCUUGAUCCUAUGACGUAUGCGGCGGACAGGUAUGUAACAAGUGUGACACCCAAAUCACAGACUGGUAUAACUUCCAGAAACCGGAUCUUAUACCGGAUAAUAUUUCGAACCGCAUGGUUCGAUAGUGAAAUAUGGUUUUGCUAUCACUUAUAGAUGGACCCGCGCCGUAUUAGCUAGUUGUUAAGGUAACGGCUUACCAAGGCGACGAUACGUAGCCGACCUGAGAGGGGGAUCGGCCACACUGGAACUGAGACACGGUCCAGACUCCUACGGGAGGCAGCAGUAGGGAAUCUUCCGCAAUGGGCGAAAGCCUGACGGAGCAACGCCGCGUGAGUGAUGAAGGUCUUCGGAUCGUAAAACUCUGUUAUUAGGGAAGAACAGACGUGUACGUAAAUGUGCACGGAUUGACGGUACCUAAUAAGAAAGCCACGGCUAACUACGUG
rnacentral:rRNA from 1 species